UACGAGGGGGCAAAUGUUGUUCGGAAUCACUGGGCGUAAAGGGAGCGUAGGCGGGUUUCUAAGUCAGGUGUUUAAUCCCGGGGCCCAACCCCGGACAGGCACUUGAAACUGGGAAUCUUGAAUAGUGGAGAGGUCAGUGGAAUUGGGGGUGUAGCGGUGGAAUGCGUAGAGAUCCCCAAGAACACCAGUUGCGGAAGGCGGCUGACUGGACACAUAUUGACGCUGAGGCUCGGAAAGCAUGGGGAG
rnacentral:rRNA from 1 species